UAAUCAUAUUUGUAAAAUCCCACCACCUCACUUAUGUAGUCUAUCAUUUGGCAUUCCCCCUUGCAAAAAUCCCCCACAAAAGGGGAUUGAUAAGCAAGAGACAGGACAAUUACAGCAAAGUUGUACAACCGCAAGAACUUAAAAAUUUCAUUCUUCUUCUUUAGUAUUUCAGGCCUCAUCCGAACGAAAACCAGAGCAAAACCAAGGUAUCCAAGGUGCAGAAUGUCAAAUUCAAG
rnacentral:misc_RNA from 1 species